rnacentral:tRNA from 1 species
GAAGUAAGGGUGUGCAAGCAUUGGUCAUUUUCAGUGAUCAGGAUUAGUUAUUUUG